rnacentral:rRNA from 1 species
GAGCCAGACUCCUACGGGAGGCAGCAGUGGGGAAUAUUGCACAAUGGGGGAAACCCUGAUGCAGCAACGCCGCGUGAGUGAGGAAGUAUUUCGGUAUGUAAAGCUCUAUCAGCAGGGAAUAGAAAAGAAGGUACCUGAAAAAGAAGCCCCGGCUAACUACGUGCCAGCAGCCGCGGUAAUACGUAGGGGGCAAGCGUUAUCCGGAUUUACUGGGUGUAAAGGGGGCGCAGACGGCAAUGCAAGCCAGGAGUGAAGGCCCGGGGCCCAACCCCGGGACUGCCCUUGGAACUGCAUGGCUGGAGUGCGGGAGGGGCAGGCGGAAUUCCUGGUGUAGCGGUGAAAUGCGUAGAUAUCAGGAGGAACACCGGUGGCGAAGGCGGCUUACUGGACAGUGACUGACGUUGAGGCUCGAAAGCGUGGGGAGCGAACAGGAUUAGAUACCCCAGUACAC